rnacentral:rRNA from 1 species
UACGUAGGGUGCAAGCGUUGUCCGGAAUUAUUGGGCGUAAAGAGCUCGUAGGCGGCUUGUCGCGUCGGCUGUGAAAACCUGGGGCUCAACUCCGGGCCUGCAGCCGAUACGGGCAGACUAGAGUUCGGCAGGGGAGACUGGAAUUCCUGGUGUAGCGGUGAAAUGCGCAGAUAUCAGGAGGAACACCGGUGGCGAAGGCGGGUCUCUGGGCCGAAACUGACGCUGAGGAGCGAAAGCGUGGGGAGCAAACAGG